rnacentral:rRNA from 1 species
AUUGAACGCUGGCGGCAGGCUUAACACAUGCAAGUCGAGCGGAGAUGAGGUGCUUGCACCUUAUCUUAGCGGCGGACGGGUGAGUAAUGCUUAGGAAUCUGCCUAUUAGUGGGGGACAACAUUCCGAAAGGAAUGCUAAUACCGCAUACGUCCUACGGGAGAAAGCAGGGGAUCUUCGGACCUUGCGCUAAUAGAUGAGCCUAAGUCGGAUUAGCUAGUUGGUGGGGUAAAGGCCUACCAAGGCGACGAUCUGUAGCGGGUCUGAGAGGAUGGUCCGCCACACUGGGACUGCGACACGGCCCAGACUCCUACGGGAGGCAGCAGUGGGGAAUAUUGGACAAUGGGGGGAACCCUGAUCCAGCCAUGCCGCGUGUGUGAAGAAGGCCUUAUGGUUGUAAAGCACUUUAAGCGAGGAGGAGGCUACUGAGACUAAUACUCUUGGAUAGUGGACGUUACUCGCAGAAUAAGCACCGGCUAACUCUGUGCCAGCAGCCGCCGUAACAC